rnacentral:rRNA from 10 species
UUUGGUUAAGUUAGAAAGGGCGCACGGUGGAUGCCUUGACACUAGGAGUCGAUGAAGGACGGGACUAACGCCGAUAUGCUUCGGGGAGCUGUAAGUAAGCUUUGAUCCGAAGAUUUCCGAAUGGGGAAACCCACCAUACGUAAUGGUAUGGUAUCCUUAUCUGAAUACAUAGGGUAAGGAAGACAGACCCAGGGAACUGAAACAUCUAAGUACCUGGAGGAAGAGAAAGCAAAUGCGAUUUCCUGAGUAGCGGCGAGCGAAACGGAACAUAGCCCAAACCAAGAGGCUUGCCUCUUGGGGUUGUAGGACAUUCUAUACGGAGUUACAAAGGAACGAGGUAGACGAAGCGACCUGGAAAGGUCCGUCGUAGAGGGUAACAACCCCGUAGUCGAAACUUCGUUCUCUCUUGAAUGUAUCCUGAGUACGGCGGAACACGUGAAAUUCCGUCGGAAUCUGGGAGGACCAUCUCCCAAGGCUAAAUACUCCCUAGUGAUCGAUAGUGAACCAGUACCGUGAGGGAAAGGUGAAAAGCACCCCGGAAGGGGAGUGAAAGAGAUCCUGAAACCGUGUGCCUACAAAUAGUCAGAGCCCGUUAACGGGUGAUGGCGUGCCUUUUGUAGAAUGAACCGGCGAGUUACGAUCCCGUGCGAGGUUAAGCUGAAGAGGCGGAGCCGCAGCGAAAGCGAGUCUGAAUAGGGCGUUUAGUACGUGGUCGUAGACCCGAAACCAGGUGAUCUACCCAUGUCCAGGGUGAAGUUCAGGUAACACUGAAUGGAGGCCCGAACCCACGCACGUUGAAAAGUGCGGGGAUGAGGUGUGGGUAGCGGAGAAAUUCCAAUCGAACCUGGAGAUAGCUGGUUCUCCCCGAAAUAGCUUUAGGGCUAGCCUUAAGUGUAAGAGUCUUGGAGGUAGAGCACUGAUUGGACUAGGGGUCCUCAUCGGAUUACCGAAUUCAGUCAAACUCCGAAUGCCAAUGACUUAUCCUUAGGAGUCAGACUGCGAGUGAUAAGAUCCGUAGUCAAAAGGGAAACAGCCCAGACCGCCAGCUAAGGUCCCAAAGUGUGUAUUAAGUGGAAAAGGAUGUGGAGUUGCUUAGACAACUAGGAUGUUGGCUUAGAAGCAGCCACCAUUUAAAGAGUGCGUAAUAGCUCACUAGUCGAGUGACUCUGCGCCGAAAAUGUACCGGGGCUAAAUACACCACCGAAGCUGCGGAUUGAUACCAAUGGUAUCAGUGGUAGGGGAGCGUUCUAAGGACAGUGAAGUCAGACCGUAAGGACUGGUGGAGUGCUUAGAAGUGAGAAUGCCGGUAUGAGUAGCGAAAGACGGGUGAGAAUCCCGUCCACCGAAUGCCUAAGGUUUCCUGAGGAAGGCUCGUCCGCUCAGGGUUAGUCAGGACCUAAGCCGAGGCCGACAGGCGUAGGCGAUGGACAACAGGUUGAUAUUCCUGUACCACCUCUUUAUCGUUUGAGCAAUGGAGGGACGCAGAAGGAUAGAAGAAGCGUGCGAUUGGUUGUGCACGUCCAAGCAGUUAGGCUGAUAAGUAGGCAAAUCCGCUUAUCGUGAAGGCUGAGCUGUGAUGGGGAAGCUCCUUAUGGAGCGAAGUCUUUGAUUCCCCGCUGCCAAGAAAAGCUUCUAGCGAGAUAAAAGGUGCCUGUACCGCAAACCGACACAGGUAGGCGAGGAGAGAAUCCUAAGGUGUGCGAGAGAACUCUGGUUAAGGAACUCGGCAAAAUGACCCCGUAACUUCGGGAGAAGGGGUGCUUUCUUAACGGAAAGCCGCAGUGAAUAGGCCCAAGCGACUGUUUAGCAAAAACACAGCUCUCUGCGAAGCCGUAAGGCGAAGUAUAGGGGGUGACACCUGCCCGGUGCUGGAAGGUUAAGGAGAGGGGUUAGCGUAAGCGAAGCUCUGAACUGAAGCCCCAGUAAACGGCGGCCGUAACUAUAACGGUCCUAAGGUAGCGAAAUUCCUUGUCGGGUAAGUUCCGACCCGCACGAAAGGUGUAACGAUUUGGGCACUGUCUCAACCAGAGACUCGGUGAAAUUAUAGUACCUGUGAAGAUGCAGGUUACCCGCGACAGGACGGAAAGACCCCGUGGAGCUUUACUGUAGCCUGAUAUUGAAUUUUGGUACAGUUUGUACAGGAUAGGCGGGAGCCAUUGAAACCGGAGCGCUAGCUUCGGUGGAGGCGCUGGUGGGAUACCGCCCUGACUGUAUUGAAAUUCUAACCUACGGGUCUUAUCGACCCGGGAGACAGUGUCAGGUGGGCAGUUUGACUGGGGCGGUCGCCUCCUAAAGUGUAACGGAGGCGCCCAAAGGUUCCCUCAGAAUGGUUGGAAAUCAUUCGUAGAGUGCAAAGGCAUAAGGGAGCUUGACUGCGAGACCUACAAGUCGAGCAGGGACGAAAGUCGGGCUUAGUGAUCCGGUGGUUCCGCAUGGAAGGGCCAUCGCUCAACGGAUAAAAGCUACCCCGGGGAUAACAGGCUUAUCUCCCCCAAGAGUCCACAUCGACGGGGAGGUUUGGCACCUCGAUGUCGGCUCAUCGCAUCCUGGGGCUGUAGUCGGUCCCAAGGGUUGGGCUGUUCGCCCAUUAAAGCGGUACGCGAGCUGGGUUCAGAACGUCGUGAGACAGUUCGGUCCCUAUCCGUCGUGGGCGUAGGAAAUUUGAGAGGAGCUGUCCUUAGUACGAGAGGACCGGGAUGGACGCACCGCUGGUGUACCAGUUGUUCUGCCAAGGGCAUAGCUGGGUAGCUAUGUGCGGAAGGGAUAAGUGCUGAAAGCAUCUAAGCAUGAAGCCCCCCUCAAGAUGAGAUUUCCCAUAGCGUAAGCUAGUAAGAUCCCUGAAAGAUGAUCAGGUUGAUAGGUUCGAGGUGGAAGCAUGGUGACAUGUGGAGCUGACGAAUACUAAUAGAUCGAGGACUUAACCAUAUAA